rnacentral:misc_RNA from 1 species
GAUGAAGAACGCAGCGAAAUGCGAUACGUAAUGUGAAUUGCAGAAUUCAGUGAAUCAUCGAGUCUUUGAACGCACAUUGCGCCCUCUGGUAUUCCGGGGGGCAUGCCUGUUCGAGCGUCAUUACAACCCUCAAGCUUUGCUUGGUAUUGGACAUUGCCAGUUUCUGGCAGGUCUUAAAAUCAGUGGCGGUGCCAUUUGGCUUCAAGCGUAGUAAUUCUUCUCGCUUUGGAGAUCCAAGUGGUUACUUGCCAAUAACCCCCAAUUUUUUCAGGUUGACCUCGGAUCAGGUAGGGAUACCCGCUGAACUUAAGCAUAUCAAUAAGCGGAGGA